GACGAACGCUGGCGGCGUGCUUAACACAUGCAAGUCGAACGGAAAGGCCCUGCUUGCAGGGUACUCGAGUGGCGAACGGGUGAGUAACACGUGGGUGAUCUGCCCUGCACUUCGGGAUAAGCCUGGUCAACUGGGUCUAAUACCGGAUAGGAGCCAUUUUUAGUGUGAUGGUUGGAAAGUUUUUUCGGUGUAGGAUGAGCUCGCGGCCUAUCAGCUUGUUGGUGGGGUAAUGGCCUACCAAGGCGGCGACGGGUAGCCGGCCUGCGAGGGUGGACGGCCACAUUGGGACUGAGAGAAGGCCCAGACUCCGACGGGAGGCAGCAGUGGGGAAGAGUGCACAAGGGGCGCAAGCCGGAUGCAGCGACGCCGCGGGGGGGAUGACGGCCUUCGGGUUGUAAACUCCGUUCGCUAGGGACGAAGCUUUUUGUGACGGUACCUAGAGAAGAAGCACCGGCUAACUACGUG
rnacentral:rRNA from 1 species